AACGUAGGUGGCAAGCGUUGUCCGGAAUUACUGGGUGUAAAGGGAGCGCAGGUGGAUUGACAAGUCGAAUGUGAAAUGCAGAGGCUCAACCUCUGAACUGCGUUCGAUACUGUUGAUCUUGAGUGGAGUAGGGGCAGGCGGAAUUCCCGGUGUAGCGGUGGAAUGCGUAGAUAUCGGGAGGAAUACCGGUAGCGAAGGCGGCCUGCUGGGCUCUAACUGACACUGAGGCUCGAAAGCGUGGGGAGCAAAC
rnacentral:rRNA from 1 species